rnacentral:rRNA from 1 species
AGUAACACGUAUGCAACCUGCCCCUGUCAGGGGGACAACCCGCCGAAAGGCGGGCUAAACCCGCGUACAUGCCACCGGGGCAUCCCGGAGGCAGGAAAGGCUUCGGCCGGACAGGGAUGGGCAUGCGGCGCAUUAGGCAGUAGGCGGGGUAACGGCCCACCUAACCGACGAUGCGUAGGGGUUCUGAGAGGAAGGUCCCCCACACUGGUACUGAGACACGGACCAGACUCCUACGGGAGGCAGCAGUGAGGAAUAUUGGUCAAUGGUCGGGAGACUGAACCAGCCAAGCCGCGUGAGGGAUGAAGGUACAGAGUAUCGUAAACCUCUUUUGUCAGGGAACAAAGGCGGGGACGUGUCCCCGGAUGAGUGUACCUGAAGAAAAAGCAUCGGCUAACUCCGUGCCAGCAGCCGCGGUAAUACGGAGGAUGCGAGCGUUAUCCGGAUUUAUUGGGUUUAAAGGGUGCGCAGGCGGUCUGUUAAGUCAGCGGUCAAAGCCCGGGGCUCAACCCCGGCCCGCCGUUGAAACUGGCAGUCUCGAGUUGGAGAGAAGUAUGCGGAAUGCGCGGUGUAGCGGUGAAAUGCAUAGAUAUCGCGCAGAACUCCGAUUGCGAAGGCAGCAUGCCGGCUCCACACUGACGCUGAGGCACGAAAGCGUGGGUAUCGAACAGGAUUAGAUACCCUGGUAGUCCACGCAGUAA